AUUGAACGCUGGCGGCAGGCCUAACACAUGCAAGUCGAACGAGUGGCGGACGGGCGAGUAAUGUCUGGGAAACUGGCUGAUGGAGGGGGAUAACUACUGGAAACGGUAGCUAAUACCGCAUACCAUCAGAUGUGCCCAGAUGGGAUUAGCUAGUGGGUGGGGUAACGGCUCACCAAGGCGACGAUCCCUAGCUGGUCUGAGAGGAUGACCAGCCAAACUGGAACUGCGACACGGUCGAGACUCCUAGGGGAGGCAGCAGUGGGUAAUAUUUCACAAGUGGGGCAAGCCUGCUGCAGCCAUGCCGCGGGUAGGAAGAAGGCCUUCGGGUUUUAAAGUACUUUCAGCGGGUAGGCGUUACCCGCAGAAGUAGCCCCGGCUAACUCCGUGCCAGCCGCCGCGGUAAUUC
rnacentral:rRNA from 1 species